rnacentral:rRNA from 1 species
CGAGUGAAGCGGCAACAGCUCAAAUUUGAAAUCUGGCCUUUAGCCCGAGUUGUAAUUUGUAGAGGAUGCUUUUGGUGCGGUGCCUUCUGAGUUCCCUGGAACGGGACGCCAUAGAGGGUGAGAGCCCCGUAUAGUCGGACACUAAGCCUAUGUAAAGCUCCUUCGACGAGUCGAGUAGUUUGGGAAUGCUGCUCAAAAUGGGAGGUAUAUUUCUUCUAAAGCUAAAUACCGGCCAGAGACCGAUAGCGCACAAGUAGAGUGAUCGAAAGAUGAAAAGCACUUUGAAAAGAGGGUUAAAUAGCACGUGAAAUUGUUGAAAGGGAAGCGCUUAUGACCAGACUUGUUCCAGGUUGAUCAUCCAGUGUUCUCACUGGUGCACUCUGCCUGGGUCAGGCCAGCGUCGGUUCUCGUAGGGGGAUAAAAGCUUCGGGAACGUGGCUCCUCCGGGAGUGUUAUAGCCCGUUGUAUAAUACCUUUAUGGGGACCGAGGUUCGCGCUCUGCAAGGACGCUGGCGUAAUGGUCAUCAGCGACCCGUCUUGAAACACGGACCAAGGAGUCGAGGUUUUGCGCGAGUGUUUGGGUGUUAAACCCGCACGCGUAAUGAAAGUGAACGUAGAUGAGAGCUUCGGCGCAUCAUCGACCGAUCCUGAUGUAUUCGGAUGGAUUUGAGUAAGAGCGUAUAGCCUCGGACCCGAAAGAUGGUGAACUAUGCCUGUAUAGGGUGAAGCCAGAGGAAACUCUGGUGGAGGCUCGCAGCGGUUCUGACGUGCAAAUCGAUCGUCAAAUAUGGGCAUGGGGGCGAAAGACUAAUCGAACCAUCUAGUAGCUGGUUACCGCCGAAGUUUCCCUCAGGAUAGCAGUGUUGUUCUUCAGUUUUAUGAGGUAAAGCGAAUGAUUAGGGACUCGGGGGCGCUAUUUAGCCUU